rnacentral:lncRNA from 1 species
GGUUUAGGGUUUAGUGUUGAUAGUUUAGGGUUUAGUGUUGAUGGUAUAGGAUUUAGAGUUGAAGUUUAGGCUUUAGGGUUUAGAGUUGAUGUUUUAGGGUUUAGAGUUGUUUGUUUAGGGUUUAGGGUUUAGAGUUGAUGUUUUGGGGUUUAGGGUUUAGAGUUGAUGUUUUAGGGUUUAGGGUUCGUAUUUCAAAAAAAAAAAGGUUUAUGUUUGAUGGUUUAGGGUUUAGGGUUCGUAUUUCAAACAAAAAAUAGGGUUUAUGAUUGAUGAUUUAGGGUUUAGAGUUGAGUUUUUGGGUUUAGGGUUUCAAUUUCGAAAUAGUAUAAUUCGAAAAAAAUUAAAGAAAUUAUUUUUUAUUUUUUCAGAAUUUUAUUUAUUUAAAUAUUUAUUUACUAUAUAUAAAAAACAAGUGCAUAUGAGUCUUUUGCCACUUAAUG